AAGGAUCAUUAUUGAUUUUCAUAAGAUGUGCUGGCAAUCCUUUGCAGGGCUUGCAUGUGCACUCUUAAAAAUCUCCUCACCCCAUUGUGCACACCUCAGUAGGCAAAAAGCAUAGAGACAAUCUCUGUGCAUCUCAUUUGCCUAUGUUUUUCUUUAUACACCAAAAUGUUCAGAAUGAUAUGUGUAAUAAGCUUUAACAAGCUGAAAUCUAAAUACAACUUUCAACAAUGGAUCUCUUGGUUCUC
rnacentral:misc_RNA from 1 species